rnacentral:rRNA from 1 species
UCAGUUCGGAUUGUAGGCUGAAACUCGCCUACAUGAAGCUGGAGUUGCUAGUAAUCGCGAAUCAGCAUGUCGCGGUGAAUACGUUCCCGGGUCUUGUACACACCGCCCGUCACACCAUGGGAGUUGGUAACGCCCGAAGCCAGUGACCCAACCUUAAGAGGAGGGAGCUGUCGAAGGUGGGACCGAUAACUGGGGUGAAGUCGUAACAAGGUAAC